rnacentral:rRNA from 1 species
UACGAAGGGUGCAAGCGUUGUUCGGAAUUACUGGGCGUAAAGGGCUCGUAGGUGGCCAAUUAAGUCAGACGUGAAAUCCCCAAGCUUAACUUGGGAACUGCGUCUGAUACUGAGUGGCUUGAAUUCGGGAGAGGGGAUGCAGAAUUCCAGGUGUAGCGGUGAAAUGCGUAGAUAUCUGGAGGAACACCGGUGGCGAAGGCGGCAUCCUGGACCGGCAUUGACGCUGAGGCGCGAAAGCCAGGGGAGCAAACGGG